rnacentral:rRNA from 1 species
AUUGAACGCUGGCGGAAUGCUUUACACAUGCAAGUCGAACGGUAGAGGGGGCAACCCCUCGAGAGUGGCGAACGGGUGAGUAAUAUAUCGGAACGUGCCCAGUCGUGGGGGAUAACGUAGUGAAAAUUACGCUAAUACCGCAUACGAUCUAAGGAUGAAAGCGGGGGAUCGCAAGACCUCGCGCGAUUGGAGCGGCCGAUAUCAGAUUAGGUAGUUGGUAGGGUAAAGGCCUACCAAGCCAACGAUCUGUAGCUGGUCUGAGAGGACGACCAGCCACACUGGAACUGAGACACGGUCCAGACUCCUACGGGAGGCAGCAGUGGGGAAUUUUGGACAAUGGGCGAAAGCCUGAUCCAGCCAUUCCGCGUGCAGGAUGAAGGCCCUCGGGUUGUAAACUGCUUUUGUACAGAACGAAAAGGUUUCUAUUAAUACUAGGAGCUCAUGACGGUACUGUAAGAAUAAGCACCGGCUAACUACGUGCCAGCAGCCGC